GAGUUGCCUGCAUGGAAAAAGGCCAAUCCAAGAUACGAAUUCAAAGCCGUGCAUAUUAAGUAUGUCUUGAUGCUUUGUAACACUCCCACCUUGGGGAGGGGAAUGUCGGAUUGGGUGAUUCGCCCCCGCCCCCUCUAAACCACCAUGGUGGUGAUAGAGCUCUUUCGUCCCAGUGGCCUAAGACAGCCACCAUGCCAGUGCUGCGAUCCCACAUGAAGGACACACACAACCCAAAUCUCCCGCCCACCAACUCUUCCUUCAUUCUCUAUUUUCCAUUAUUAUACAACAACGCUCUCAAUAACUGGACACAAUCCCGCCUUCCCACAACUCCCCUUCUCUUCCAGUCUCCCAGCCUCCCGGAUGGAGUCUUUUCAAAAGCCCACGAAGAAAAAAAAAAGUCCCGAAGUUACGUUCAAGCAAGUAUUAAUCCUUGCAUGAAAUUGCAUGAGCCAAGCGCUUGGGUAGGGGCCAAGGGCAGGCUCACAACGUAUCAGAUCAUAGCUCGUAACUCGCCACUCAAAGGCAGCGAAAAUUCAUUGGAUCCUCCACACCCCC
rnacentral:sRNA from 1 species